CAAAUGGGAUGGUGGGGUAAGGAAUAAUCGGGGUGGUCUGUGGAACAACUUGGAGGAUUGGUGUUAUGUCUCAAGAAGAUAUUCAAGUAUGUUCCUCCUUUUUUACCCAGACCGACUGCUUCAUGCUGGGCUUCAGACAUGAGAGGCUAGGAGUAGGAGGCAUGCCUUGUUCAAAGGACACCAGGGCUGGCAAAUGCAGUGCAGAUCCAUUGGUCUUAAAUGUGGGAAAUAGUCUACAGUUUGGAAGACACC
rnacentral:lncRNA from 1 species